GCGAGCAACUGACAGAGACCUUGCAAAGGAUGCCCGAGGCAAAAUAUAUGAAUCUGUUCCGUACAACGCUGCCGAAGUUGCUGGCAGCUGCUUGUCGACUUUGCGAAGGCUGGCUUGAGCAACCAAUGCUGAUGCGAUCGGAUGUAGAGUCUGAAACUCCGGAAGCCCUGGAUUUGAACUUCGCUUGUAGGUUGGUCGACGAUUUGCUUCGUGAGGUGAGUCCGAAGGUCAAACACGGCACCAUCACGUUGAAUUGAUUUCUCUGUCUUUCCAUUUCUUACAGAUCAAGAUUUUCAGUAUUUUUGCUGAUGGAAAAUAAAUAUGGCUAAUCACGGUGUACCUCCGCCAACUAUACGCAGUCUAUACGAAGGGGGCGUACAUCAUCUUUCUGAUCGUACCUCUCUGCUCACAUAGGACCUUCUCAUGCUUGUCAGAUCGCUAUCAGGAACCAUUAUCCACGGGAUACAAUUUGUACUGUAAAAGGAAAAGUCCAUAAUAAUCUAGCUUGAUUUUACAUUUACGUGCACGGCGUGUUUGAAACGACUAUCGAGAAAUCUGACUUGCUCCACCGCGCAAUGCAACGGGUUCGAUUGCUGGUUGAAAGGAAUCACUUUGCUACCACUUGAUCUAUUGGAACUCCUAAAGAAUGACCUGACCGGACCGGAAGUGUAACGACCUUGGACGAUAAAUCUACAGAGAGAAUUGGUGCGCCUGUGCAUGAAGGUCAUUAAUUCAACUGCUCCGCUAGGAAUUAACAAUCAGCAUGUUGCCUUUAGCCGUGUGUACUGCAGAUGGGAUUCCGGCAUUGCCGUAGCUGAAUGAAACCUUCCCCUUACGUGAGAAAAUGGACGCCCGGUGGUGUGGCAGAUCUGGCUGCGCGAUC